CAGCCCUGCCUCAGUCUCUUAACUGAAAAACGGAUCGAAGGAAAAAUUGAUUAAAACUUAUUCAGCUAAUGGAGGUGAUGAGACGGCUAUUUUUUGUCAUGGCUGUAAAAUAACAAGGAACUUGGAAAAAGUCAUCCUCACGGAGGCAGGAGAGAGCCUGCUGAACUGCUGAAACCUGGUGAAACUUUACAGUAUUGGUUUUGUUUUGUCUUUUUGGGACAGGCUCUCAGUAUGUAGUACAGGCUGACCUUGAACUCGGUUUUUUUGUUUGUUUGUUUGUUUUGUUUUUUUUUUGCAUCUAUCAAGCACUAGGCCCUGUGAUAACGCGUCUUCUGCAUUAUUAAUGUGACCAUUACAACAAUGAUAGAUGUGGUGGAUGUUACAGUUUCCUCUUUUACAGGCAGUUGGGGAUUUUGGCCAGGUCCCCAAUAUUUGGUGCCUGAAGAGGGACCUCCUGAUUAGGUCUGAGAGGGAAGAUCCACCCAAGGGGAAAGAAGAGGACAUGCGAUGGCGAGAGGACUCCAUGGGACAAAUUUGGGAAAGUCCAAACAGAAAGUGAAAGGAGAUGGAUCACCAGUGUGGUUGCCAUCCAAGAAUGUGCAACUGUGGAAGACAGAAAAACCCAGCCAAGGACAACGACUUUUGUACAGAUGAGUCUCAAUGAUCAGCCGGUGACAAUUCCAACCCCGUCAAUGAUGGAGGCCAAACAAAUUACAAACAAGAGCCUGGAGAAGACAAUUCAUGAGGCCAAUGCCCUGGUAGACUGUCAGGGUCUGGCACAGACUCCUGACACUAUGUUUGUUGCUAUGAUGGCUAUCACAGCAUGUGCAGGUACAUAUACCCCGUGUCAGGGAUAGAAUAUUGGGCUUACAUCCUCAACCCUCCCCUACUUAGACCAGUUACUUGGAUGAUCUCUCACCUGAAAUUUAUCAUGAAACUGACACAUCCUGUUUACUAGUGGUGAAUUUGAUACUAGCCCAGCCAUCCCUAUAGAUGUGAAAGAUAAGGCAAUUGUUAAUUAUACUUCUCACUUAUCCUCCUGUGUGUGUGGAAGAUGUUUCCAUACAGUUUAAUCACUGUUAUGCCACCUCAUCUCAGACCUGGUUGGCCCAUACCCCUGCAAACUUUAUUAUGUUAACUCUGGGGUCCAUUCACAUGGCUGGUGAACAAAUAGAUUUCUUCCUACCCAAAUACCCAAUUUGUCAGGCUCACACUACAUGGAAUGGAUUUCAUAAAGAUGCCCCUCCACUUUGGAAUAUAUGUAGGGGCCGAUCAGGAAGAUACAGAAAAUUGGGACCACAUGAAUUUAUUGACUAGGGACCAUGGGGAGAUUUUAUGGGAAGAAAGGACAAUAGUCCAAACUGGUAUAAAUUAAACUAGACUAACCUUGAUAAUGUGACUAAAAAAAUAUGUCCCUACUAAGGAAAUAAGUUGGAUAGGAGGUUUUAUCACCUUCUCCCCAGUUUUUACAUUAUGGAAAACUUGGGUCUGCCCAGAAAAAUUAUGGAAAUUGGCUCUUCCCUAUAUUGAAGGAAGCUUAUGGGCUGGUAAUGGUUUAACAACAGACUCUGGCUAUACUAUACAGCCAUAUAACAGCAUCAUAUUAUAUGGCUGUUUGAGCUUCCAUAUGUAUCUAUAACCCUCAUGUUUUUAUGUAUGGGAAUAUGUAAUGGAGUACUAAUACCUUUACCUGUAAAAAUACACCUUGAGUCCUUAUAUUCCCUGUGGAUCUGUACAAAAUAAGAUUUUAAUGAUCCUAGGGUGUAUGCCAGGAGUAUGAGUUCCUGUUAAUUUAACUGAAACAUGCUCAUAUACACCUACUUUUCAUUUGUUACAAGUCCUGCUUGAUCAUCCAAUGCAGAGGAAGGACAGUGCUGAGAUGAUCACUGCUGGCAUAGUCUCUUUGGUGUAAUUGAUUUCAAAUGUAGCCAUUUUCUCUGUUGCCUUGGCCCAUUCUGUUCAAACAGCUCAUUUCAUAGAUAAUUGAACCAAGAUUGCUUGUGGGGCCUGGAAUAUACAACAUUCUAUAGAUGCUGAACUGCAAUCCCAAAUAAGUGUGCUUGAGGGGCUGGGGAUUUA